rnacentral:sRNA from 1 species
AAGAAAGUGACUGCUGCCCCGCACAGGGGCGAAGCCAAUAGACCAAUAGCAAUGCAAGCUUCAUAGGAGCGCAAGCGCAUCAGACCGUUCAAAAAACACCAGCCCCAA